AACCCCACUUCAGAAACUAGGAUAGGAUUUCUCAUUUACCAUAGGAGAGGGUUAUGGUAUCUGAUAAAAUUAUGGGAGACAACUAAAAAGAAGAUCUUAUCUUGUUGUGAAUGUCAUUAUGAGUGGUUUGAUUAUAUGUUCUUGUUAUGUAGAUAAUUUCAUUAUGGCUUCUUCACUCUCAUUGUGAAGUAUCUUAGAUAAUAAUA
rnacentral:lncRNA from 1 species